GGGGUCUAUGGACAGAGUUCUGAGCUAAGCACUAGAAAACUUACUCUAGAAGACAUUGAUUAGCUAAUAAAAAUUUGUUUUGAUUAUUCAAUCAGUUCCUAAUAAGACAUCAUUUAGAUUCCAUUCCAUAUAAUUCUUUACCUCUUCUAUAGGGUGGUCAAAAGAGGUGGUCUUGCAUAUCUCCAGUUACUCCAUGGCCCCCCAAAUGCUUCUGCCUGACCAGUUGUCAACAAAGGAUGCAUUAGGCAUUGGGAGGAGGACCUGCCAUCCUUGUAAAGUAUGCAGGGAACUAAUGUCCCAAGAGUCAGAACUAUGUUCAAAACUGCCCAUGAAAACCAAAGAAUUGCCUGUGAAUGGAAAUAAAUGAAUAGGAAUCACUAUAACUGAUUGAAUGUACUCUUUGUUGAAGUGGUCCACCCAAGAAAUGGUCCAAGCCUGGAGACAGGUAAAACAGAAUAAAACUAAUAUGAUCAUGAUCA
rnacentral:lncRNA from 1 species